rnacentral:lncRNA from 1 species
CCUCCCACUCCCAGGACUUGGACCCUGGAUCAGCCCUGCUCAAAGGGAAUAUCCAGAGAAUAAAGGCCAGGAGUUGCUAACUUCAUAAGGGAGAUGGCACUGACCCAGAUCACGACCAUAGGUGGGGACAUGCAUUUAGGGGAGAAGAUGAAAGAUUGACAGAAACUUGAGCAGGCUCAUGUGGGAAGGCUUCUUGGAGGAGUGGCCCUCCUUCCCAUCAUGUCCUGCAGUGAUACAAAGAUUUUCCCCUGUAGAUUCCAAACCCUUUGCUGGCUCCCCUGCCCAGAGAGUCCCUGUCUGUCUCCCCAAGAGUCAAAUCCUGCCCCAGAGCCUGACCCAGGCUAGGAUGUGCCCAUUGGAACAUUCACCCAACAACUAUGUCUUGCCAUCCAGCAUUUCCAGAGACCUGAUGCUCCACAGGCCAGGAGGCCUCAGGCCAAAUGGGGAGCAAGGCAAAGAGGAGGCGCUGAAACUAUGACACAGGGAUGCCAUUCUCAUAAGGACAUC